rnacentral:lncRNA from 1 species
AUUUUGUUUGAUAAUUGCCAAGGAUUUCACACAUAAUCCCCUCCCCCAUUACCCCCAAGUGAAUCCAUCCCACUACUACACAAGAUAGUACUUCUUUCCCUCUGAGUUAACAAUGAAAGCAUAUUUUUUACAGAUCUCUGCAAUAUUAUGUUUACAAGUUCCUUGAAGAUAUGAUUAUAAUAAAUGGUGACAGAUGUCUGUACAUUGUAGAGUAUUUUGUACAUAUUUUGUACUUACUGAGGCCAAAUAAAAAUAAUAGUUGGUUUCAGGUUUCACAGCCAUGUUUUAUAUGGGUAGGUAGGUCAGAAAAGCAUUUUAUUUAAAAAAUAUUUUAUCUCAAGUAUGCAAUAAAUAUAAGUUGUUUAUGAGUAACUGUCACACAUAAUCAGACAUGCCACGCGGGAUCACCCGCGAGCUACACAUGUUUUGCGAGAAACAAACGCAUCAAGGAUUAACAUGACUAGAUAAUGAUUAAAUUAUGAGCAAACAAAAUAAUUUGUAGCAAAUGAGUCUGAUGACUAUUUAUAUAUUCUGAUAUUUACGAAAAGAUCAUCCUUACUGGGAAAUGUCAAUAAAAUGUUUAUGGUCGGUCAUAUUUUUGACAGGUCGGUCAGAAACCUGAAACCAACUAUUAUUUUUAUUUGGCCUGAGUACUUUUUAUAAUAUUCAGACAAUAGAUAAAUUUGUAUCAUAAUUAAAUUUGUAUCAAAAUCUGUAAUUUAAUAAAUAUUCAUUCCAUCUUGUUUCAUUUCUUGUUUUCUUUAGUAGCC